rnacentral:rRNA from 1 species
CGAAAACGAAUUCUCUCUUGAGUGGAUCCUGAGUACGACGGAGCACGUGAAAUUCCGUCGGAAUCUGGGAGGACCAUCUCCUAAGGCUAAAUACUCUCUAGUGACCGAUAGUGAACCAGUACCGUGAGGGAAAGGUGAAAAGUACCCCGGAAGGGGAGUGAAAGAGAACUUGAAACCGUGUGCUUACAAGUAGUCAGAGCCCGUUAAUGGGUGAUGGCGUGCCUUUUGUAGAAUGAACCGGCGAGUUACGAUCUGAUGCAAGGUUAAGCAGAAAAUGUGGAGCCGUAGCGAAAGCGAGUCUGAAUAGGGCGAAUGAGUAUUUGGUCGUAGACCCGAAACCAGGUGAUCUACCCUUGGUCAGGUUGAAGUUCAGGUAACACUGAAUGGAGGACCGAACCGACUUACGUUGAAAAGUGAGCGGAUGAACUGAGGGUAGCGGAGAAAUUCCAAUCGAACUUGGAGAUAGCUGGUUCUCUCCGAAAUAGCUUUAGGGCUAGCCUCAAGUGAUGAUUAUUGGAGGUAGAGCACUGUUUGGACGAGGGGCCCCUCUCGGGUUACCGAAUUCAGACAAACUCCGAAUGCCAAAUAAUUUAACUUGGGAGUCAGAAUGUGGGUGAUAAGGUCCAUAUUCGAAAGGGAAACAGCCCAGACCACCAGCUAAGGUCCCAAAAUAUAUGUUAAGUGGAAAAGGAUGUGGCGUUGCCCAGACAACUAGGAUGUUGGCUUAGAAGCAGCCAUCAUUUAAAGAGUGCGUAAUAGCUCACUAGUCGAGUGACACUGCGCCGAAAAUGUACCGGGGCUAAACAUAUUACCGAAGCUGUGGAUUGUCCUUUGGACAAUGGUAGGAGAGCGUUCUAAGGGCGUUGAAGCAUGAUCGCAAGGACAUGUGGAGCGCUUAGAAGUGAGAAUGCCGGUGUGAGUAGCGAAAGACGGGUGAGAAUCCCGUCCACCGAUUGACUAAGGUUUCCAGAGGAAGGCUCGUCCGCUCUGGGUUAGUCGGGUCCUAAGCUGAGGCCGACAGGCGUAGGCGAUGGAUAACAGGUUGAUAUUCCUGUACCACCAUUAUUCGUUUUAAGCGAUGGGGGGACGCAGUAGGAUAGGCGAAGCGUGCUGUUGGAGUGCACGUCCAAGCAGUGAGAUUGAGUGUUAGGCAAAUCCGGCACUCUUAAGAUUGAGCUGUGAUGGGGAGAGGAACUUGUUCCUCGAGUCGUUGAUUUCACACUGCCGAGAAAAGCCUCUAGCUAGAAUAACGGUGCCCGUACCGCAAACCGACACAGGUAGUCAAGAUGAGAAUUCUAAGGUGAGCGAGCGAACUCUCGUUAAGGAACUCGGCAAAAUGACCCCGUAACUUCGGGAGAAGGGGUGCUCUUUGAGGUUCACGCUUCGAAGAGCCGCAGUGAAUAGGCCCAAGCGACUGUUUAUCAAAAACACAGGUCUCUGCUAAACCGUAAGGUGACGUAUAGGGGCUGACGCCUGCCCGGUGCUGGAAGGUUAAGAGGAGUGGUUAGCGCAAGCGAAGCUACGAAUCGAAGCCCCAGUAAACGGCGGCCGUAACUAUAACGGUCCUAAGGUAGCGAAAUUCCUUGUCGGGUAAGUUCCGACCCGCACGAAAGGCGUAACGAUUUGGGCACUGUCUCAACGAGAGACUCGGUGAAAUCAUAGUACCGGUGAAGAUGCCGGUUACCCGCGACAGGACGGAAAGACCCCGUG